rnacentral:tmRNA from 1 species
GGGGGCGUUUAGUUUCGACAGGGUUGUUGAUUCGUAAGCUGCAAGUCGAGAGUGCUGUUCUCUCGUAAAACAACAAGCAAACAAAAAUAAAUGCAAAUGACAACGUCAUUGCCGGCAAUUUCGGUGGUCGCGCUCUGCGCGCCGCUGCCUAACUCUCUAAGUUAGUUUGCCACUCUGCGGAGACUUGAUUACCCGUUUCCGUUAGGGUCAACCACGGUGAUUGCUCUUGAGCGAAAUUAGCGAUUGCUAGCUCAAGCUAAGACAUAAUCGCGAACCCGGUUGGCUGUUCGAGCCUCUUUCAGCGGUUCUGAGAGAAUUUCGAACUAAACUUGUAGUGGCUUGCCUCUCGGCGAUUUUGGACGCGAGUGCGAUUCUCGCCGCCUCCACCA